CAGGCCUGAAGAAGAGAAGGGAGGAAAUCUGCCGGAAGUAGUCUUCCUAGAACCAGGCGGCGAAGCUCUCAACGCCGCGUCCCAGAACCUUUUAGAGACCACGUGGGGACUGGGAAAACUGAGUAGAAGACCUAGGUUCGAAUCCUGCCCCUUCCCCCUACUAAUUAGAGCCCUGAGGACAACCGGGCACUUCUCUCUGAUUCCCAGCGUUCCCCUCUCUGAGAUGGGGAUAAUCGUGAAUUUGUAGAUUUGUAAUCUCGUGGGACCUUUGAGGUCGCGGAGUCCAACUGCCGGGUUUUACAGAUGAGAAAGAUGAGGUCCGCGUCUCAGAUGGGAAGAGACUGUGACUGAGUUGUCCAUACACAGACAUUCAUCUGUGCACAUAUGUAACAAACAAUAUGUACAUGCACAGUUAGCAUAUCUGUCUGUGUCCGUACAUACACCCCCCUGGCCCGGAAGGGCAAGGCGAGGUCCGCAUGCAGCUUGCGCUCCAAACAGGAUGGGCCAGUGAGAUACACACACACAAGGAAUGCGUGCACACAGGAACAUUCACACCCCCAUGCAGUGCAUGCACACCAGCUGGCCCGGAAAGGCUAGGCGAGGUCCGCAUGCAGCUUGCGCUCCCCCAUGCAGAGCAUGCACACCAGCUGGCCCGGAAGGGCAAGGCAAGGUCCGCAUGCAGCUUGCGCUCCAAACAGGAUGGGCCAGUGAGAUACACACACACAAGGUAGGCGUGCACACAGGAGCAUUCACACCCCCAUGCAGUGCAUGCACACCAGCUGGCCCGGAAGGGCAAGGCGAGGUCCGCAUGCAGCUUGUGCUCCAAACGGGAUGGGGCCAGUGAGAUAUACACACACAAGGAAUGCGUGCACACAGGAGCAUUCACACCCCCAUGCAGUGCAUGCACACCAGCUGGCCCGGAAGGGCAAGGCAAGGUCCGCAUGCAGCUUGUGCUCCAAACGGGAUGGGGCCAGUGAGAUACACACACACAAGGUAGGCGUGCACACAGGAGCAUUCACACCCCCAUGCAGUGCAUGCACACCAGCUGGCCCGGAAGGGCAAGGCGAGGUCCGCAUGCAGCUUGUGCUCCAAACAGGAUGGGCCAGUGAGAUACACACACACAAGGAAUGCGUGCACACAGGAGCAUUCACACCCCCAUGCAGUGCAUGCACACCAGCUGGCCCGGAAGGGCAAGGCAAGGUCCGCAUGCAGCUUG